rnacentral:rRNA from 1 species
GACCUACGGGAGGCAGCAGUGAGGAAUAUUGGUCAAUGGCCGAGAGGCUGAACCAGCCAAGUCGCGUGAGGGAAGACGGCCCUACGGGUUGUAAACCUCUUUUGUCGGGGAGCAAAGCGAGUCACGUGUGACUCAUUGAGAGUACCUGAAGAAAAAGCAUCGGCUAACUCCGUGCCAGCAGCCGCGGUAAUACGGAGGAUGCGAGCGUUAUCCGGAUUUAUUGGGUUUAAAGGGUGCGUAGGCGGGACCUUAAGUCAGAGGUAAAAUUGCGGGGCUCAACGCCGUAGAGCCGUUGAAACUGGGGU